rnacentral:rRNA from 1 species
AUUAACGCUGGCGGUAUGUCUAAUACAUGCAAGUCGAACGGUCCGAUUUAUCGGACAGUGGCGAACGGGUGAGUAACACGUUGGAACCCGCCCCGAACUCAGGGAUAACACCUAGAAAUAGGUGCUAAUACCGGAUGGUCCCGCAAGGGUAAAGCUUUUGCGGUUCGGGAGGGGCCUGCGGCCUAUCAGCUAGUUGGUAAGGUAAUGGCUUACCAAGGCUAUGACGGGUAGCUGGUCUGAGAGGACGACCAGCCACAAUGGGACUGAGACACGGCCCAUACUCCUACGGGAGGCAGCAGUAAAGAAUCUUCCACAAUGGGGGCAACCCUGAUGGAGCGAUACCGCGUGAAUGAUGAAUGUCGAAAGAUUGUAAAGUUCUUUUCUGAGGGAAAAAUUCUGAUUGUACCUCAGGAAUAAGCACCGGCAAACUCCGU